CCGUCCCAUUAGCACGUCGCCGAAUGGCCUAAUAACCCGGCCACGACCUUCCUGUGCACGCUAUCUCCAACUUGAUUCCAUCGUCCUCCUCCUUCUGCAGCGCCGCCGCCGGCCACCAGCCUCCUCCCGCAGAGCCGCCGCCGGCUUCAUCCCACGGCCGUGCGCCUUCCUCCUCCCGCGGCCCUGCUCCCGAUCUUCUCCGGCGGCCGCGCGCCGUCUUACGGCCGUUGCCCCGCUGCCGGUCUCCUCCCACAGACGCGUCGCCGCCGACCCCCAACAGGAUCCCGUGCCUCCACCGCCCCAAGAUCCUAUGCCGUUGGGCGGGAUCCGGCGCCCGCACCCCCAUCGCAUCCACGUCCCUGCGAGCCCAAGCACACCGCCGGCCGCGUGCACUCGACGCGACACCUCCUGCCUCCCCACGUCGUCGCCUACCCCGCCAUCACCGCAACCACGCAUCGCUCGCGGCCGGGAUCCAUCGCGCAGUUCAACCAAGUCCGUGUGUGCAGUCCCUCCUCGUUCGCUUGCUUGACAGCAGAGCAAACAGUGCUCCCAAAUCUGCAGAAGGAGCUCCUGAUUUUUGAGGUCUGAAGUUCAGGUGUACCAUGGAGACUACUACGGCCGUUCGAAACACUAGCAGGCGACGUGCUAGCCAGCUGCAGGUCACGGUCUCCUCUCCUCGAGUUGCAGGUCGUCUAAAUCUGGAGUUCUGGACUAUCUGAUCUACCGGUUUAGCCUGCGCCGACCAUCGAAGCCUACCGAGGAUAAGCAGCACAAUGGGGUGUGGAUAGAUGAGAAAAGGGAAUUUCUCGAUAAGUUGAUUUCGCGGAAAAUAAGAGCUAAUAUAAAACCUGGAGUUGGAAGAUGGGUUUCAUAUUUGAACAGAGAGAGGAAACUAGCGCGGGACCAAGGCUGGCAGGUACCCCGUGCAUCUGCAAGGUGCUCCAGCUGGUCGUCGCCACCUCAUCUACUCGCCGGCUUCCGUACGUGAGCACAACCGGAGAGCCCCUGUAACUUCUACAUCCGCCCACGCAUCCUCAUGCUCUGCCUCCGCUCUCUCCGAUUAGUUGACCUUCUCACGAGGGCCACCACGACCUUCCCUGGACCAGCUAAUUUUUAACUUCAUGGUAUGAAUAAGUUUUAAUAUGUGCCAAAAAAUGUGCACAGAGACGCCGCCCCGCGGCCAAACUCGUGCCUGCGCUUGGCUCCGUCCGCAGCAGCACACCACCUCCCUCGCCGUCCACCUGCCUGUGUUCAUAUUCUACAGAAAAAAUCAGCGGAAAGCUCCACACAGGCAAUUCUUGAUCCCUAGACCAGCUCGAUCAGUUAGUUGUGUGCAGAAUAUUACAUGUAGUUCUUUGGGUUCCCUACUUUCAUUUUGGUAAAACUAUUGAUGAAAAAAUGUACCUAUACAGAAAUUAUGGAUCGGUUCAAGAAAAAUGGAUGUUUACUAAUUUUGCGGUUUAAAGUUUUCUUUGUGUUUUUCUACAGCAGUUUGGAGUGUAUUUAUAUAGAAGAAAAAACAACAGCACGUGCACCGGAGCAGCAGGAGCGCAUUCACCAUCUAUGCACAUGUGUGUGUAGUGCACUUGAGGGAGCACUCCCCUGUUGCUAUUAUGCUCCUACGCCUCCCCAUGGAUCCUGUUCUCUUCUCUUCUUUUUGCUGUGAUUUUGUAAAUUGAAGAUCAUUCAUAACAGGGGAAGAAAAAGUUUUAGAGAGUUUUUCAUAAAAAGCCAUAGAUUUUAUUCUGAUUGUGAUGGACUUUUCUCACAUGUUUAUGCUAGUUCAUGCUCGUUUUGUACUCUUUUUUGUUCUUACUCUGUUUCAGAUUUUGGUUUGAAAAAGUAUGCGCAUGUUGACAGAGACAAUCUAUACAAAGAAGUUCAAAUAUUAUUGCCCUGUAGGUUCAUGUCUUCACAAGGUGUACCACUAUUUUUCUUCUCUCUCAAAAAGUGUGUGUUUUCAGCACUACAAACAGAUCCAAUACCCCGAAGAAAGUUAUGGGAAAAAAUAUAGAAAUUCUAGAGAGGUUGGGGACAAAAGGGUUUCUGUAGCGAACAAUAUUUUAUUCCUAUGGGA